rnacentral:rRNA from 1 species
GACGAACGCUGGCGGCGUGCUUAACACAUGCAAGUCGAACGAUGAAGCCGGAGCUUGCUCUGGUGAAUUAGUGGCGAACGGGUGAGUAACACGUGAGUAACCUGCCCUUGACUCUGGGAUAACUGCGGGAAACUGUAGCUAAUACCGGAUACGACCCUCGGAGGCAUCUCCUGGGGGUGGAAAGAAUUUCGGUCAAGGAUGGACUCGCGGCCUAUCAGCUAGUUGGUGAGGUAAAGGCUCACCAAGGCGACGACGGGUAGCCGGCCUGAGAGGGUGACCGGCCACACUGGGACUGAGACACGGCCCAGACUCCUACGGGAGGCGGCAGUGGGGAAUAUUGCACAAUGGGCGCAAGCCUGAUGCAGCAACGCCGCGUGAGGGAUGACGGCCUUCGGGUUGUAAACCUCUUUUAGCAGGGAAGAAGCGAAAGUGACGGUACCUGCAGAAAGAGCACCGGCUAACUACGUGCCAGCCGCCGCGGUAA